rnacentral:rRNA from 1 species
UACGUAGGGCGCAAGCGUUGUCCGGAAUUAUUGGGCGUAAAGAGCUCGUAGGUGGCUUGUCACGUCGGGUGUGAAAGCUUGGGGCUUAACUCCAGGUCUGCAUUCGAUACGGGCUGGCUAGAGGUAGGUAGGGGGGAGAACGGUCGAAUUCCUGGUGUAGGCGGUAGAAAUGCGCAGAUAUCAGGAGGAACACCGGUGGCGAAGGCGGUUCUCUGGGCCUUACCUGACGCUGAGGAGCGAAAGCUAGGGGAGCAAACGGG